rnacentral:lncRNA from 1 species
GGGUGUGGAGAUCUGAAAACCAGUAGCAAAUAUUUUUAAAAGGGGACGACAAGGCUUGGAGGCGCUAGGAAUUAGGGACGGUCAAGAAAAUCCUAGAUGCUAGGGUUUCUUCUUCUUCCUUGACUCCUAUCAUGUGUAGAAGUUCUCAUCAGAUCUUUAAAAUCUGGAACCAACAAGAACAUGAUCCAAAGAGUUGGACAGGGAUUUCUAGUAG